AGUGAACGCUGGCGGUAGGCCUAACACAUGCAAGUCGAACGGCAGCACAGGAGAGCUUGCUCUCUGGGUGGCGAGUGGCGGACGGGUGAGGAAUACAUCGGAAUCUACUUUUUCGUGGGGGAUAACGUAGGGAAACUUACGCUAAUACCGCAUACGACCUACGGGUGAAAGCAGGGGAUCUUCGGACCUUGCGCGAUUGAAUGAGCCGAUGUCGGAUUAGCUAGUUGGCGGGGUAAAGGCCCACCAAGGCGACGAUCCGUAGCUGGUCUGAGAGGAUGAUCAGCCACACUGGAACUGAGACACGGUCCAGACUCCUACGGGAGGCAGCAGUGGGGAAUAUUGGACAAUGGGCGCAAGCCUGAUCCAGCCAUACCGCGUGGGUGAAGAAGGCCUUCGGGUUGUAAAGCCCUUUUGUUGGGAAAGAAAUCCAGCUGGUUAAUACCCGGUCGGGAUGACGGUACCCAUAGAAUAAGCACCGGCUAACUUCGUGCCAGCAGCCGCCGUAA
rnacentral:rRNA from 1 species